AUUGAACUGAAGAGUUUGAUCCUGGCUCAGAUUGAACGCUGGCGGCAUGCCUUACACAUGCAAGUCGAACGGCAGCACGGGCUUCGGCCUGGUGGCGAGUGGCGAACGGGUGAGUAAUACAUCGGAACAUGUCCUGUAGUGGGGGAUAGCCCGGCGAAAGCCGGAUUAAUACCGCAUACGAUCUGAGGAUGAAAGCGGGGGACCUUCGGGCCUCGCGCUAUAGGGUUGGCCGAUGGCUGAUUAGCUAGUUGGUGGGGUAAAGGCCUACCAAGGCGACGAUCAGUAGCUGGUCUGAGAGGACGACCAGCCACACUGGGACUGAGACACGGCCCAGACUCCUACGGGAGGCAGCAGUGGGGAAUUUUGGACAAUGGGCGCAAGCCUGAUCCAGCAAUGCCGCGUGUGUGAAGAAGGCCUUCGGGUU
rnacentral:rRNA from 1 species